rnacentral:ribozyme from 1 species
AUAUGAGAGAGAGAGAGAGAGAGCAAGAGAGAGAGAAAGGGAAAGACGCUUACAUAUAUACAUAUAUUUCAUAAGAGCCUCUUCUUUUAUAUUGUUUGUUCUAUAUAC